AUUAGAUGCGCAAGAGAGGUUAGUAUCAUUUAUUGUUGAUGACUUUAUCGAUAAAAGUCAAUAUGGUAUCCAAAUAAAUUAUGCAAUAUACACAAACUUUAUAUACGCAUAAGUCGUAAAAUAAUGAUCUCUGCGCUUUGAAACUGGGAUUUUUGGAUUCUACUUAUGAUAUGAUAAAUAAGGGUCACAAAUUUGGUAUGUCCCAUAUAAGCGCGACGUUAUUUUCUUCUUCUUAAAUACUACAGAAAAAUUACUUAAAUUAAAAAAGCUAUUUUUCUAUCAUACUGAUUGACAUUUGGAUGUUCCGUUGUUCCUGUAAUAAGGAGGUUAAUCACGCGAUCUUACUCGUUCCCUCGUCUUCUCGCGGAUACAGUGGAAAUUUGUCCGACUAUCUUUUGCCAGAAAAAUCUCACAUUGCUCUACCUACUGCCGAGAAUUUGACAAAAGCUUCGCGAUUUAAGAUUACACUGUCAUUUGUUAUAGAAAUCGAUAUAGGAAAUAUUAUAGUAUUCAAGAGAUAUUUGUAUAUAUAAUAAAUCUAAAAUAGCAUUGUAUAAACUAAACCUAACCCAUACAGGUGCAUGUGAUUUCAAAUAAAUGAAAUAAAAGAAUUAUAUUAGAGAAAGCAAAAUUUGAUAUGAAUUAUGUAUAUAUUAUUUUAAGAAGAUUUAUAAUAAAAAUAUUGAAAUCUUAUUAUUGAUUGUCGAUUUAUACUUUUGCAUAUAAAGUAACCUCCUUUGCCAGACUUCCCGUUUUACGUCCCUGUACAAAGGGUGUUCUAAAAUAUAUCGUUAAACAGAUAUCGAAUUGCAGCUAUCUUGGCAGAUCUACCUAAAAAUUUAGAAGAAAGAAUAUGUGAGUAUUAUAUAUACUUCGUAUCUGACAUAUAUAAUUUAUAAAGAAAGAAUAUGUGAGUAUUAUAUAUACUUCGUAUCUGACAUAUAUAAUUUGUAAAGAAAGAAUUUUUUACUCUAUAAUUAAAAUUUUAAAUUUAUGA
rnacentral:misc_RNA from 1 species